rnacentral:rRNA from 1 species
GUUGUAUGGUUAAGUGACUAAGCGUACAUGGUGGAUGCCUUGGCAGUCAGAGGCGAUGAAGGACGUACUAACCUGCGAUAAGCUGUGAGAAGUCGGUAAGAGACGCUAUUACUCACAGAUUUCCGAAUGGGGAAACCCACCCGAGAUAACUCGGGUAUCUGUUACUGAAUACAUAGGUAACAGAGGCGAACCGGGAGAACUGAAACAUCUAAGUACCCCGAGGAAAAGAAAUCAACCGAGAUUCCCUCAGUAGCGGCGAGCGAACGGGGAUUAGCCCUUAAGCAUCUUGGAAGUUAGUGGAACGGUCCU